rfam:Daphnia pulex DAPPTscaffold_362_Cont9044, whole genome shotgun sequence.
AGGGUUGUAACUCAGUGGUAGAGUGUUCACUUUGCAUGCGAAAAGCUCGGAGUUCAAUCCUCCCGCACUCCAU